GCCCCCCUUAAGAUAAGAUAUCCCAUGCGAAAGCAGUAAGACCCCUUGAAGACGACAAGGUGGAUAGGUUAGAGGUGGAAGUGUGGUAACACAUGUAGCUGACUAAUACUAAUAGGUCGAGGGCUUGACCUA
rnacentral:rRNA from 1 species